AACUUUUCUUCUUUAAUUAGUUGUUUGGGAAAUUGGAGAUGUAUGAAGAAAUCUCUUGUCUAACAAUUUCGUCUGUUUCUGUGGAUACAGUACAAACAAAAUUAAAUAACUUAAAGUAACUGCUAUCUAAUAGUACUUGUGAUGUCUCCUGUUUAACAUUUCUGAAGUACAGUGAGCUAGAGUAAACAUUUUAAAUCCAUUCAUCUUUUGUUUAGGCAAAAGUGUAUUUUUGUACACAAAAGUAAAAAAAAAAAAAUAAAAAAUAAAAAAAAAUCCUCCUGGGACCCAGGAACAGACUUUUGUCCACUGUAGUAGACAUUAUAUUUUAGUGAAUUUCUCUGACACCACACAUGUAACACAUAAAGAGCACAUUUGGGUACUUUCAAAGAUAACACAUGUUUGAAGUUUUUACCAUGACAAAAAUUUCUCCUUGAUGCCAUGAUGAUGUCAGCGUAUUCUCUACUGGAUUCAAAAACUUUGAUUUUGAGAAAAUCGGCGCCACGGUAUUUGACCAAUCAAGUGUCUUAGUGUUGCUUUCAGCCAAUCAGAGCAGCAGAUAGUACUCACUUCGAUUGAUGCUCCCGCGCUACGCGACGUUUUGCAGCGGGAGGAGACGUUACUAAGACACGAUUCCGUUCCAGUUUGCAAUUUAUUACUUAUAUGAUAAGUCAUUAAAAAUGGAGAGUACAUCGAUCCUUGUAGCUAAUAUAGACCAGCAUAGUCAAGUUACGUCAAAACCAGACCUUGAUGGAGACGACAAUUGGCUAGAAAUAAAGUGGCCUUCACGUAAAGAACCAGAGAAGACGGUGCCUGCAAAAGUCCUGCUGUUUGGAGAUUCGUUCAAAGACCUCGUCAUGAAGAAAAACUUACUACUUUUGGGAAAGGACAUAUGGAACAAGGAUGAAAGCAGGGGUGUUCGUUUCAAAAAGAAAAUGUUGGACACCAGCAACGAGGUGGAGGCUAAAAUAGCCAGGCUGGUGAGUGGAUAUGGAUAAGUCUUUAUGUACAGUAAUAUCGACAGUUUUAUGUCAUAGUGAUAGUAAUUUCUUAAUUUUCCAGAAGAUAUGCUAAAUGUAAAAUUGAUUCCAUGCAUGUAAUAGUAAAUAUGAGUCCCUAAUUACACUCUGUACCUCAGGUAGUUCACAA
ensembl:lncRNA